rnacentral:rRNA from 1 species
CUGCAACUCGCCUACAUGAAGUCGGAAUCGCUAGUAAUCGCGGAUCAGCAUGCCGCGGUGAAUACGUUCCCGGGCCUUGUACACACCGCCCGUCACACCAUGAGAGUUUGUAACACCCAAAGCCGGUGGGGUAACCUUUUGGAGCCAGCCGUCUAAGGUGGGACAGAUGAUUGGGGUGAAGUCGUAACAAGGUAGC